UGCACGGUCCACCGAGUCCAGACACCGGGGGGGUCCCUGCGCCUCCUCUGCAAGGGCUCCGGCGUCACCGUCAGCGGCUUCGGCAUGGAGUGGGUGCGACAGGCGCCCGGGAAGGGGCUCGAGUUCGUUGCGGGGAUUAGCUACGAUGGUAGUAGCACCCACUACACGCCGUCGGUCAAAGGACGCUUCACCGUCUCGAGGGACAACUCCCAGAGCACGCUCACGCUGCAGAUGAACAGCCUCAGGGCCGACGACACGGCCACCUACUACUGCGGGAAAUGUGCUUGUGACGGUGAUGGUGGCACCCAGCCCCAACAUCCCAGUGCUCUGUGCCCAGAUCCUGGUGUCUUCCUCAAUCUUCCGCCUUGA